CCUACGGGUGGCAGCAGUGGGGAAUAUUGGUCAAUGGGCGGAAGCCUGAACCAGCCAAGCCGCGUGAAGGAAGAAGGCGCCAAGCUUCGUAAACUUCUUUUGUCGGGGAACAAAGGGCGCCACGUGUGGCGUUAUGAGUGUACGCUAAGAGAAAGCAUCGGCUAACUCCGUGCCGUCAGCCGCGGUAAUACGGAGGAUGCGAGGGUUGUCCGGAUUGAUGGGGUUAGAAGGGUGCGUAGGGGGGCCGGAAAGUCAGCGGUAAAAGCCCGGGGCUCAACCACGGCGAGCCGUUGAAACUGUCGGACUAGAGACGGCGAGAGGUACGUGGAAUGCGCGGUGUAGCGGUGAAAUGCAUAGAUAUCGCGAAGAACUCCGAUUGCGAAGGCAGCGUACCGGCGCCGGACUGACGCUGAGGUACGAAAGCGUGGGUAUCGAACAGGAUUAGAUACCCGAGUAGUC
rnacentral:rRNA from 1 species